rnacentral:rRNA from 1 species
AUACGUAGGUGGCAAGCGUUGUCCGGAUUUACUGGGCGUAAAGAGCGCGCAGGCGGUCUUGUAAGUCGAGUGUGAAAGCCCCUGGCUCAACCAGGGAGGGUCAUUCGAUACUGCUUGACUCGAAGGCAGGAGAGGGAAGUGGAAUUCCGGGUGUAGUGGUGAAAUGCGUAGAUAUCCGGAGGAACACCAGUGGCGAAGGCGACUUUCUGGCCUGUUCUUGACGCUGAGGCGCGAAAGCUAGGGGAGCAAACGGGAUUAGAUACCCCGGUAGUCCUAGCCGUAAACGAUGGACACUAGGUGUUGGUGGUAUCAACCCCGCCAGUGCCGUAGCUAACGCAUUAAGUGUCCCGCCUGGGGAGUACGGCCGCAAGGCUAA